rnacentral:rRNA from 1 species
GUGCCAGCCGCCGCGGUAAUACGGAGGGUGCGAGCGUUGUUCGAAAUUACUGGGCUUAAAGCGCGUGUAGGCGGGACGGCAAGUGUCGGGUGAAAUCCCUCGGCUCAACCGAGGAACCGCCUGGCAAACUGCCAUUCUUGAGGCAAGUAGAGGUGACUGGAACGACUGGUGGAGCGGUGAAAUGCGUAGAUAUCAGUUGGAACGCCGGAGGCGAAAGCGGGUCACUGGGCUUGUCCUGACGCUAAGACGCGAAAGCGUGGGGAUCGAACAGGAUUAGAAACCCUCGUAGUCC